GCGCCUUGGGGGAAACCAGAGGACUUCUGCACCGUUUCCCGAGGACAGUUUGGCAGUGUUUCAGAAGGGCCUUAGAACCAGGCAGGCCCCCUUCUAGGAUGGUGGAAAGCCUAAAGAUCUGAAAACGGUCUCAAGUGUCGUCUUAGCGAUUGGCUGACUAAACCGAAUGCAAGCCGGAGACUGCACACGAUGUUGCCGUUAACAGUUACACUGGGCCGGGCAGUCAGAGGCAGGCGGAUCACCUGAGGUCAGGAGUUCGAGAACAGCCUGGCCAACAUGGCAUGAAGAACUCUUGACUGACAGAAACGGAGGGUGUGUCCAAAGUUUUGAGGACGGCCGAGCGGCGCUCCAAAACCCGUCCUCACAGCCUCGCCCCGUUCGCCUCAGCUACAACAAAUCAUCGUCAACCUGUUCCACCUUCUCCAGUCUGGUAGCAAAAAGGGGUGUCUCAGAAUCUCCGGCCUGUGAAACUGUGAGGGGAUUCGGCC
rnacentral:lncRNA from 10 species